CGGGGGGGGAACCCCCGGGGGGGGGUGUCCGGCUUUAGGGACUUCGAUUUUAUGACUCCUAUGGGUAAUUUAGUAUGGAAAUAAUAAAAUAGGACGUGUGGUUCUAUUUUGUUGGUUUCUAGGACCGCCGUAAUGAUUAAUAGGGACAGUCGGGGGCAUCAGUAUUCAAUUGUCAGAGGUGAAAUUCUUGGAUUUAUUGAAGACUAACUACUGCGAAAGCAUUUGCCAAGGAUGUUUUCAUUAAUCAGGAACGAAAGUUAGGGGAUCGAAGACGAUCAGAUACCGUCGUAGUCUUAACCAUAAACUAUGCCGACUAGGGAUCGGACGGUGUUAUUUUUUGACCCGUUCGGCACCUUACGAGAAAUCAAAGUGCUUGGGCUCCAGGGGGAGUAUGGUCGCAAGGCUGAAACUUAAAGAAAUUGACGGAAGGGCACCACCAGGGGUGGAGCCUGCGGCUUAAUUUGACUCAACACGGGGAAACUCACCAGGUCCAGAAAUCUAGA
rnacentral:rRNA from 1 species